rnacentral:rRNA from 1 species
CACGUAGGGGGCGAGCGUUGUCCGGAUUUAUUGGGCGUAAAGAGCUCGUACGUGGCUUAGUAAGUCGGGUGUGAAACCUCCAGGCUCAACCUGGAGACGCCACCCGAUACUGCUAUAGCUUGAGUCCGGUAGGGGAGCGUGGAAUUCCCGGUGUAGCGGUGAAAUGCGCAGAUAUCGGGAAGAACACCCGUGGCGAAGGCGGCUCUCUGGGACGGUACUGACGCUGAGACGCGAAAGCGUGGGGAGCGAACAGG